GACCCUCGUUCUUUCUUUUCCCUUUUCCUUUCUCUCUGUUUUCUCCUUCCCACUCUGCAAAAGGCACACAGAAAUUGACGGAUGUAACAUUCGAUUGUCAAGACUGAGGGAUAGACCUGGAAGUCUUCCCUUGGCAGUCUAAUAUUCUCUCGGAGCAAGGGCAACCCCUCGAAGACGUUGACGUCAAGGUCAGAAGCUACAGUGAUAGCAUCAUGGAACUCAACCACUUUGAUUAAUCAGGAAAAUGACCCAGAUUUUGUUAGAGAUUCUUGGGAUGAAGAAGUUGAUGACAAAAAGGGGGGAAAAAAAAAAGGAAGUUAUUUGAGAGAUGUGUAUCUGAGUAAGCACUUAAUGUAUUCCACUAUUUUUUCUUCUAUUUUAUGGUCCUUAAAGAUGAACAAGAUCUCGUUUGCUCUUGCUCUAGAUGGGUAGAGAGUAAAAUGUUUAGCACUUCAUGUAUCAUCCAAGAUGCCUUCAAUUUCAUAGAGAUCUUCUUAGUUGUGUGGUUGUUGUCAGGAAAGAGUACACUGUACACUACUGCUACCUAUGCAAAUAGUUUUUCCUUGCACUGUUA